GAUCCUGGCUCAGAAUCAACGCUGGCGGCGUGCCUAACACAUGCAAGUCGAACGAGAAAGGGACUUCGGUCCUGAGUAAAGUGGCGCACGGGUGAGUAACACGUGACUAACCUACCCUGGAGUGGGGGAUAACUGAGGGAAACCUUAGCUAAUACCGCAUAAUACCUACGGGUCAAAGGAGCAAUUCGCUUCAGGAGGGGGUCGCGGCCGAUUAGUUAGUUGGCGGGGUAAUGGCCCACCAAGACGAUGAUCGGUAUCCGGCCUGAGAGGGCGCACGGACACACUGGAACUGAAACACGGUCCAGACUCCUACGGGAGGCAGCAGUGGGGAAUUUUGCGCAAUGGGGGAAACCCUGACGCAGCAACGCCGCGUGGAGGAUGAAGUGCUUCGGCACGUAAACUCCUUUCGAUCGGGACGAUAAUGACGGUACCGAGAGAAGAAGCCCCGGCUAACUUCGUGCCAGCAGCCGCGGUAAUACGAGGGGGGCGAGCGUUGUUCGGAAUUAUUGGGCGUAAAGGGUGCGUAGGCGGUUUGGUAAGUCUUAUGUGAAAUCUACAGGCUCAACUUGUAGUCUGCAUGAGAAACUGCCGGGCUUGAGUAUGGGAGAGGUGAGUGGAAUUCCUGGUGUAGCGGUGAAAUGCGUAGAUAUCAGGAGGAACACCUGUGGCGAAAGCGGCUCACUGGACCAU
rnacentral:rRNA from 1 species